rnacentral:rRNA from 1 species
UACAGAGAUCCCAAGCGUUGUUCGGAUUCACUGGGCGUAAAGGGUGCGUAGGUGGUGAGGUAAGUCGGAUGUGAAAGCUCGGAGCUCAACUCCGAAAUGGCAUUGGAAACUACCUUGCUCGAGGGUUGGAGGGGGGACUGGAAUACUUGGUGUAGCAGUGAAAUGCGUAGAUAUCAAGUGGAACACCAGUGGCGAAGGCGAGUCCCUGGACAACUCCUGACACUGAGGCACGAAAGCUAGGGGAGCAAACAGG